rnacentral:rRNA from 1 species
UACGGAGGGUGCGAGCGUUGUUCGGAAUCACUGGGCGUAAAGCGCGUGUAGGCGGCCUCCUAAGUCUGGUUUGAAAGCCCGGGGCUUACCCCCGGAAGUGCACUGGAAACUGGGAAGCUGGAGUACCGGAGAGGAGGGUGGAAUUCCUGGUGUAGCGGUGAAAUGCGUAGAUAUCAGGAGGAACACCGGUGGCGAAGGCGGCCCUCUGGACGGAUACUGACGCUGAGACGCGAAAGCGUGGGGAGCAAACAGG